AUCACUUCUCGGCCUUUUGGCUAAGAUCAAGUGUAGAAUCCCAACUCCUCUAAACAUGGUGGUUAAUUUUCAUUAAAUUAUCAUUUUAUAAGAUAAAACUGAAAACAAGGAGAGGUCCUCUGUCAAGUAAUUCACUGAAAGCCGUGAGCCAUA
rnacentral:snRNA from 1 species